rnacentral:rRNA from 1 species
UACGUAUGGUGCAAGCGUUAUCCGGAUUUACUGGGUGUAAAGGGAGCGUAGACGGAGUGGCAAGUCUGAUGUGAAAACCCGGGGCUCAACCCCGGAACUGCAUUGGAAACUGUCAAUCUAGAGUACCGGAGAGGUAAGCGGAAUUCCUAGUGUAGCGGUGAAAUGCGUAGAUAUUAGGAGGAACACCAGUGGCGAAGGCGGCUUACUGGACGGUAACUGACGUUGAGGCUCGAAAGCGUGGGGAGCAAACAGG